rnacentral:rRNA from 1 species
AUUGAACGCUGGCGGCAGGCCUAACACAUGCAAGUCGAACGAGUGGCGGAAGGGUGAGUAAUGUCUGGGAAACUGCCCGAUGGAGGGGGAUAACUAAUGGAAACGGUAGCUAAUACCGCAUACCAUCGGAUGUGCCCAGAUGGGAUUAGCUUGGAGGUGAGGUAACGGUUCACCUAGGCGACGAUCCCUAGCUGGUCUGAGAGGAUGACCCGCCUCAUUGGAACUGAGACACGGUCCAGAUUCCUACGAUAGGCACAAGGGGGGAAUAUUGCACAAUGGGGUCAAGCUUGAUGCAGCCAGGCCGCGGGUAUGAAGAAGGCCUUCGGGUUGGAAUGUACUUUCAGCGGGGAGGCUUUACCCGCAGAAGAAGCCCCGGCUAACUCCGUGCCAGCCGCCGCGGUAAUAC